rnacentral:snRNA from 1 species
GGAUAGGAGGGUGAAAUAGCUGUGACAUGUCACCCCAUUGAUCACUAAGGUUGAUUCGGAUGAUCUGGCUGGCCAGGCGGGUGUCCCCUUCCUCCCUCAUGGCUCCAUGUGCAUCUCUCCUGAAGCUGUGCCCUCAGUUGAAGAGGAUGACCCUCCCUGAUAGGGCCAUCCUUUGGUCAAGGGUUAGCUGUGCUCCCCUGCUAGAACCUCCAAACAAGCUCUCAAUAUUGAAGUUUGUUUUGUUGUUUAAAAUCCUAGUGACUUUGGACUAUUUUUUGAUAACUGGCACAAG